CCUACGGGUGGCUGCAGUGGGGAAUAUGGGACAAUGGGGGCAACCCUGAUCCAGCCAUGCCGCGUGUGUGAAGAAGGCCCUCGGGUUGUAAAGCACUUUCAGUGAGGAAGAACGCCUGGUGGUUAAUACCCAUCAGGAAAGACAUCACUCACAGAAGAAGCACCGGCUAACUCCGUGCCAGCAGCCGCGGUAAUACGGAGGGUGCGAGCGUUAAUCGGAAUUACUGGGCGUAAAGCGCGCGUAGGUGGCUUGAUAAGCCGGUUGUGAAAGCCCCGGGCUCAACCUGGGAACGGCAUCCGGAACUGUCAAGCUAGAGUGCAGGAGAGGAAGGUAGAAUUCCCGGUGUAGCGGUGAAAUGCGUAGAGAUCGGGAGGAAUACCAGUGGCGAAGGCGGCCUUCUGGACUGACACUGACACUGAGGUGCGAAAGCGUGGGUAGCAAACAGGAUUAGAUACUCCAGUAGUC
rnacentral:rRNA from 1 species